rnacentral:rRNA from 1 species
AAGCGGCAACAGCUCAAAUUUGAAAUCUGGCCCUUUCGGGGUCCGAGUUGUAAUUUGUAGAGAGUGCUUCGGGGGAGGCGGCGGUCUAAGUCCAUUGGAACAUGGCGUCAUAGAGGGUGAGAAUCCCGUAUGCGACCGUGGCUCGAACCCAUGUGAAGCCUCUUCGACGAGUCGAGUUGUUUGGGAAUGCAGCUCAAAAUGGGUGGUAAAUUUCAUCUAAAGCUAAAUACCGGCUGGAGACCGAUAGCGCACAAGUAGAGUGAUCGAAAGAUGAAAAGCACUUUGGAAAGAGAGUCAAACAGUACGUGAAAUUGUUGAAAGGGAAGCGCUUGCAACCAGACCUGCCCGCAGGCGAUCAGCCGCUGUUCUCAGCGGUGCACUCGCCCUGCGAUCAGGCCAGCAUCGGUUUCGGCGGUCGGAUAAAGGCCUUGGGAAUGUAGCUCCCCUUCGGGGGAGCCUUAUAGCCCUCGGUGCAAUGCGGCCAGCCGAGACCGAGGACCGCGCUUCGGCUAGGAUGCUGGCGUAAUGGUUGUAAGCGACCCGUCUUGAAACACGGACCAAGGAGUCUAACAUCUAUGCGAGUGUUUGGGUGUCAAACCCAUGCGCGGAAUGAAAGUGAACGGAGGUGAGAACCCCGAAGGGCGCAUCAUCGACCGAUCCAGAUGUCUUCGGAUGGAUUUGAGUAUGAGCAUAGCUGUUGGGACCCGAAAGAUGGUGAACUAUGCCUGAAUAGGGUGAAGCCAGAGGAAACUCUGGUGGAGGCUCGCAGCGGUUCUGACGUGCAAAUCGAUCGUCAAAUUUGGGUAUAGGGGCGAAAGACUAAUCGACCU